rnacentral:rRNA from 1 species
AUUGAACGCUGGCGGCAGGCCUAACACAUGCAAGUCGAGCGAGCGGCGGACGGGUGAGUAAUGUAUGGGGACUGCCCGAUAGAGGGGGAUAACUACUGGAAACGGUGGCUAAUACCGCAUACUAUCGGAUAACCCAUAUGGGAUUAGCUAGUAGGUGGGGUAAAGGCGCACCUAGGCGACGAUCUCUAGCUGGUCUGAGAGGAUGAUCGGCCCCCCUGGAACUGAGACCCGCCCCAGACUCCUGCGUAGGCAGCAGUGGCGAAUAUUGCACAAUGGGCGCAAGCCUGAUGCAGCCAGGCCGCGUGUAUGAAGACGGCCUUCGGGUUGUAAAGUACUUUCAGCGGGGAGGCGUUACCCGCAGAAGAAGCACCGGCUAACUCCGUGCCAGCAGCCGCGGUAAUUC